rnacentral:rRNA from 1 species
AGCAGCCGCGGUAAUUCCAGCUCCAAUAGCGUAUAUUAAAGUUGUUGCAGUUAAAAAGCUCGUAGUUGAAUUUCGGGGUUAGUAAGUUGGUCGUGCCACUGGUAUGUACUGGCCUUACUGAUUCCUCCUUCUUGUAGAACCGUAAUGCCAUUAAGUUGGUGUUGCGGGGAAACAGGACUGUUACUUUGAAAAAAUUAGAGUGUUUAAAGCAAGCUAACGCUUGAAUACAUUAGCAUGGAAUAAUGAAAUAGGACGUUCGAUCCUAUUUUGUUGGUUUCUAGGAUUGACGUAAUGAUUAAUAGGGAUAGUUGGGGGCAUUAGUAUUCAAUUGUCAGAGGUGAAAUUCUUGGAUUUAUUGAAGACUAACUACUGCUAAAGCAUUUGCCAAGGAUGUUUUCAUUAAUCAAGAACGAAAGUUAGGGGAUCGAAGACGAUCAGAUACCGUCGUAGUCUUAACCAUAAACUAUGCCGACUAGGGAUCGGAUGAUGUUAAUUUUUAAUGACUCAUUCGGCGCCUUAC